GACGUAGGGCGCGAGCGUUGUCCGGAUUUAUUGGGCGUAAAGAGCUCGUAGGCGGCUUGUCGCGUCGAAUGUGAAAUUUUAGGGCUCAACCCUGACAUUGCAUUCGAUACGGGCUGGCUAGAGUGUGGUAGGGGAGAUCGGAAUUCCUGGUGUAGCGGUGAAAUGCGCAGAUAUCAGGAGGAACACCGGUGGCGAAGGCGGGUCUCUGGGCCGUAACUGACGCUGAGGAGCGAAAGCGUGGGGAGCGGACAGG
rnacentral:rRNA from 1 species